GGACAACAUCAGCUGAUACCUGAAGAGCUGAGAGGGUAAACUAAGGAGGAUGCCAAGGGACAACAUCAGCUGAUUCCUGAAGAGCUGAGAGGGUAAACUGAGGAGGAUGCCAAGGGACAACAUCAGCUGAUUCCUGAAGAGCUGAGAGGGUAAACUAAGGAGGAUGCCAAGGUGAGAGACACGCUAAAACAGACUUUGCACCACCACAUGCGACUGCCACGACAUGCGACUGCCACCACAUGCGGCUUUGCGCCGCGACAUGCGACUGCUUGCUACUACAAAUGAUAUACCGUUGCAUCGGACGACUGACCAGUACGUCGGUCGAUCUUAUACAACUGCACUCUACUACAUCAAUCAAUAUUACUUUUACUGAUUUCAUGACCAAUCCUUGACCUGAACUUUUUCUCACAAACCCCUACUCUGAAUGAAGGUCAGCAUUACUAAACACUUCUCACCGUGGUUACCAGAUCUUUGUUUCCAGAUCAUUCUGGAGGUCUUCCUGCAAUGAACAUUGUGUAAAGUCUCUCGCAAGGUGCUUAUUUCAAAGUUUUACAACCUUCAUGAAAAUGAUUUUCAACUUUGAAAAUAAAGCAAUUGAUAAACUU